GACUCCCAUGGUCCCUUACAACUCUACAAUUCUUUGAUUCUAGGUGUAAGUAGGUGAACCCUCAUUUGUAUUCAGCAGGGCUCUUUGUAUGACACAGAGACAUCUCUAAAAGCAUAUUUCCAUAAUGUAAAAGGUAAAAAGGACCCCUGGAUGGUUAAGUCCAGUCAAAGGCGACUAUGGGGUUGUGGUGCUCAUCUCACUUUCUGGGUCAUGUGGCCAGUAGAACUAAACUGCUUCUGCCGCAACAGAACACCGUGACGGAAACCAGAGUGCACGGAAACACCUUUUACUUUCCCACCACAGCGGUACCUAUUUAUCUACUUGCACUAGUGUGCUUUCGAACUGCUAGGUUGGCAGAAGCUGGGACAGAGUUCACCUCAUAGCACGGAUUCAAGCUGCCAACCUUGCAAUCGGCAAGCGUAGGAGGCUCAUUUCCAUACAUCAACCCUAACACAAUUAAACUAAAAAUAUUAAAAUUGAAUAAGCCAGCUAGCAUGCCGCUAUAAUCCAUUUCAAUUUAUAGUACAGUGCAACAUUAAGGGCUCAUUACAGCAGCUAACGUCCCAUUAACAGAACAUUGUUCAAUGCAAAUGUUUGUGUGGGCAGAGCAUUGAAAAGCAAGGACAGCAAGUAAUACUUGGCCGGCUUUUGGAUAUUAAUGAAAAUGAGCACCUGCAAGCUGCCUUGGAGGACCUUGAUAGUCAGAAAUGCUUUAAGUAACUUAGCCCACAUUUGAGGAAGGACUCUAAAGGUUACAGUUGAAAAGGCCUCGAUGCUCAUCCUCAUUGACACCCCCUUCCUUGGAGUCACCUUUCGGAGCAGGGCUAUUGAGCAGGAGAAGCUCUUCUAUAAAGUUGGCAGGGCUGAAAGCAGGCUCUGAGGGAUUAAAUCCAAGAACGUGUGGAAUUUUUCUCAGAAAUGUUGCUUGCUUUUUUAAAAACUCUGUAUCCCUGCUAGAAAUAUUUUUGACGUCUUUCCCAGGCAGGAGGGUUCCAAGUCAACUCAAUAUUUAUGUUUGUGGGCAGCUUUAGUCCCAGAUUAUUGUUAUUUUUGGUUGGGGGGGGUGUCAUUGCAACAAAUAAACAUUGUCUUCUUUUAUAAACUUUACCAACUUAACAAAGCUAUUCCCAUACAAUCCAACAUUUCUCCAAUGAAAAUAGGGACGUCCUAUUCCAUCAUCAUCAUAAUUUUAUUUUACCCCACCUUUCUGACUAGGUUGCCCCAGUCACUCUGGGCAGCUUCCAACAUAUAUACAAACAUAAUAAAACAUUUAAGAUUACAAUAACUUCCCUAUACAGGGCUGCCUUCAGAUGUCUUCUAAAGGUUGUACAGUUACUUAUCUCCUUGGCUUGGGGAUCGCAUAACUACAUACCCUCCAACAUUUCUCUGAUGAAAAUAGGGAUGUCCUAAGGAAAAGCAGGACAUUCCAGGGUCAAAUCAGAAACCAGGAUUGCUUCUGUAUAUCUGGAACUGUCCCUGGAAAAUAGGGACACUUGCAGGGUCUAUAUUCCAUGCUCGGUCCUGGUUUGUUCUAGUUUCAUUACCUUUACACUACAACUCUUUAUUUGUUUAGAGGCCCUGUCAGCCCCACUUCCUGAUGAUCUCUCCACACCCUCUUGGCCGUUUUGGGAACUGAGCCUGACUCAGCUAUGUCUCAUCGUUUGAUUAUCUAUGAAGGAUAGAUCUACCAUUAAGCCCUGACAGAUAUUCCUGUAUCUCUGAAAAAUAAUGGUUAUUAAAGAGCAAAUGAUGGGGAAGGGAUGUUGUCUUCAUGCUCUGCACAUGGGCUUCCCAUUGGGGCAUCAUCCAGUUGGCUGCUGCAGAAAAGAGGAUGCUGCUGGUCUAGAUAGGCCUUUGAUCUGAUUCAGGAGGGCUCUUGGGUUGUUAGAUGCCUUGGCCCAAGCAAACAGUGAAAGGCUAGGAUACAUUCAAUGGGUGAAACUGCAAGAAAACAGUUUUGUUUUGUGUGUUUUUUUGGAAAAAAGACAGUUUGCUAAGUUGUUAUGUAAAUUAGCAUUGAAGCAAUGUAUUCAUUAUUGCCGUAGAGUUAGAACUUAUGUGUUCGCAUAGGAAAAGUAAAGUGCUCUGUAUUUGUUGGUCUUUCCAAAGUUGGGGGAAAUUUAUGGUGUGAUCAUCUAAUUUCAGCUGAGCUUUUAUCAUUAGUUCUCAGAUGAUUUCCAGCCAGUAUUAUAAAUCAGAUGGAGAUUAAUGAAGAGAGGAGUAAUAAGAGAGCAAUUUAAUAUGGUUGCAUGAAUUAUACAUGUAUAACUUUAAACCCAGAGUUCAUAAAAAUUACAUCAGACACCUUAAUGGUUGAAAUAUAUCUCAAUUCCCAGCUUGUAACUAGAAUGACUUGUGAGAGGUGCAGGUGGAAGAUGGUACAUGACAGAACAAAAUGUCAUGCCCCCUUUCUGCACUGAAAAACAGCUCUGAUUUGUGCAGAAUGGCUUCUAGGCCACAGGGUGUGACUUCACUGCUACUUCUCCUCGGAUGUAUUAUUCUUUAUAGUUUUCCCUGUAGAAUGACCUGCUUUAUAUUGGUCUCCAGACAUUUCACCCCAUAUUGCCAUGUGCUCUGGGUGCAUGAUAAAUGGCUCUACAGAGCAGCCAACUCUCUAAAGAUGCACGGUUUUAAUGGAAAUGUUACGCUGUAAUGGGAGGAACAGGUAACUGAGAAUAAUCACAAUCUUGCUAGUCUAUAAUAAGUAGUCAUAAUGAAGAAUCACUUCUGAUGCUGUCAAGAGACCUACUUUUCUUCUUCUUUUUGACCUAAUUUAUAAUGCAAAACUUUCUGUUGGAAGUUCUUGUGCAAGCAUAGGCAAACUCUUAGGGGCCAAGGCACUUUCAAACACACCAUGUUUUUUGGGGGGGGGAUGGGCCCCCUCAAUGUUCAGAGGGUGUUCAGCUCUGCCCCCUGGUUCCUCACCAUGUCAGGUUGUUGCGUUUUGGCCCCCUCAAUCAUCUUGAGAUGUUGGUGCCUCUGUGUGGAGGAUAAUGUUGUGGCCCCAAUAAUAUGGGAGUUAUUGUGCCCCUUAUCUCAACUUCAGGAAAUAAUUGCUCUGUUUCAAUCAACGCAGCUUAAGGAUGUAGGUAAAGUGCUUGUGUUCUCAUUGCCCAUUUUGUCUAUUUACAUCUUGUGGGAAGGCAUUGACUGCGUGUGUCCGGGAGAUUAUUAAUACCACUUUAAGGAAGGGAGUGUUCCCAUGUGCCUUGAAGAAGGCAGUUGUGCAACCGUUCCUUAAGAAAUCUUCUCUGGAUCCAGUAGAUUGCUCAGCCCAAAAUAUCUCCUCUUUGGACAAGGUGGUCUAGAUGGUGGUAGCAGCUCAAGUCCAAACACUCUUGAAUGAAGCAGAUUAUCUGAGCCCAUUUGCUGUAGGUUCCCCCCUGGCAUCUCUCAACUGAAGAGUUGUAAAUGUGACUCCUGGUCUUUAGGUGGCAGCAUUCGCGAAAAUAAAAACCGAGGAGCGCUCUCUGAGCCUGCAGUUCUUUCUCCUGCAACAUUUUUGUUUAAUUUUUUUUUUUCUCCUGGCAGAAGCACUGCUCUUCAUUUCAACUCAUUGUUUCCUGUUUUGAUUUAGGAGGCUUCCCUUUUGUUUUUGGUGCAGUUUGUAACACUCGCCCUCUGGUGAAUUCAUUAUCACUUUUGUGACCUUUCCCAAAAUGCUUUAUCCUAUAUAUCUCUGUCCUUCCUGGCCCAUCAAAUAAGGUUGCACAAUCUCUCCCUAAGCAGACUGCAGGAAGCAGCACAGAGAAAUAAUGAGAAAAUAUAGUGGAUGGUCAUUGAAAUCUUACAUAGGCUGAUGGGAAGCACUGCACCUGCAGGAAUCCCAGGUGGAAUGAUGUGCCUGCCAGCCAUAUUUUAAUCAUUUAGUUUGGUUGGAGAACAUUAAUGUAAAUUUCUCCCAGUCAAGUGCAAAUUCUAGUGAUGAACCACAGCAGAUACAACCACAGCGUUGCAUUCAAUGUCUUUUAGUGUUUCUAUUGUACUCUACUCGUAGCCUGUGGGCGAGAUUGCUUGGGAGGAUUGAUUUGCUAUUAUAACUUUGUUUUUAUAGCCUCUUAAAGCAUUGUUCUGCUCUGCUAUUCAGUAUGAGGUUUUGCAGCAAAUUGCACAGGCAAGUCCAACAAACCUAACUUGUCCUAGUACGUGUAGCUUAGCGCCUCAGCAGAGGUUGAGACAGGCAAGCAGUUGCUUUCCUGGAAGGAAGGAUUUGUUCUCUUUUUCAAACAGGAUUUCCCCUUUUCUCACUUGGAACUGGGUGGAAUUACCUGUCAGGAUCAGCUGAGACACAAACUGGGGGCCUCCUGGUCUGUGUGUGGAUGCCACUUGUCAACAAUUUAUCAAAUUUGUUACCUCAGUUGCCAGGAAGCAACUGCUUAUGGGUUUGUCCUUCUUAUGGGUUUGCCAAGGGCAUCUGCCUGACUACCAUGAGAAACAGAAUACUGGACUGAUCCUGCAUGGCUUUGCUUAUGUGUCUGUGGGUGACCAUUCAUGGCAAUGUUCUCAUGGAGAAGCUGCUAAAAUGUGGACUGGACGAUGUAGCUGUUAGGUGGAUUUGUAGCUGGUUAUCUGACCAAACCCCCAAAGUGCUCAUGAAUGGUUCCUCAUCAUCCUAGAAAAAAGUAGCAAGUGGGGUGGCGCAAGGUUCUGUCCUGUGCCCGUUGUUGUUCAACGUCUUUAUAAAUGACUUGGAUGAAGGAAUUGAGUGGAUGCUCAUCAAAUCUGUGGAUGGUAAAAAAGGUACAAAGGUAAAGGACCCCUGGAUGGUUAAGUCCAAUCAAAGGCGACUAUGGGGUAUGGCGCUCAUCCCGUUUUCAGGCCGAGGGAGCCAGUGUUUGUCCACAGACAGCUUUCUUAGUCAUGUGGCCAGCAUGACUAAACCGUUAUUGGCGCACGGAGGACCAUGACGAGUGCCAGAGCACACGGAAAGAAGACAGAAUUGGGAUCCAAGAUGACCUGAACAAAUUGGAGAAUUGGGCCCAAACUAACAAAAUGAAUUUCAAUAGGGACAGAAACAUCAUAGCCAGACACUGGAGAGACCUGUCAGCAGUAAGCAUGUAUCAAUGAAAUCAAACAGUAUAGGAAACAGCCUUAUUAGAAAAACUAACCAAUAAACUGAAUGUGACACGGAGACAAAUAGAAGAAGACGUCUUCACAUACACAGCCCAACAAGACAACAACAAGAAUCUGCCAACAGCAUAUGAAUCAAUAUGACUAACCUGAUACAAAAAUACCCACCCACCCCACUCACACAUGGAAACAAAGUUCACCACAGCCAAUCACAAACAAACAACCACACCCUAGGCCAACCCCAACCGCUCUCACCACCAAAGUAACACAAGUGAAUAGUAGAGAGAACCUGCACAAGUGACGUUGACACAAAACCCCACACAUACAUUAACUAGAAUAGAAGCUUUGCCACCCAACCCCAACCCCACUCACCAUGCCCCCUCCACCUCUUUCUCCCUUUUCUUCCUAAAGUAACACUAAUGUCUCAAGAAAUGAAACUGAUCUGUAGAAAAUGUAACUUGAAAAAAGAGACAUUGCACAUACUUUUGUAAACCAAGAAACCUUUAAUAAAAAAUAUGUUUGAAGCUGGAAAAAAAUAGGGACAAAUGUAAAGUUCUGCAUUUAGGCAGGAAUAACCAGAUGCACAAAUAUAAGCUGGGGGGCGGGCACCUGGUAUCAGCACAUGUGAAAAGGAUCAAGGGGUCUUAGUAGACCACAGGCUUAACAUGAGUCAACAGUGUGACGCAGCAUC